AUUCUUUCUUCCGUAAAGCUUUUUCGUAAGGAAGAAUCUAUUUUGAAAAAUACCCUUCGGAGAAAUUCUUAUUUUCUUCCUCGGACGUUUUGAAUGUUAAAUUUGUCGUAACCGUUUUUAACGCCAACACUCUUCGUAAAGAUAUCUUUACGAAGAUUACUUUUCGUAAAAACGUUUAUGCUGAUUUUUACGGACUUUCAGACAUUGAUUCCGUCGUGACCGAUUUUGACCCCAACAGUUAGCCCUCAGCUCGUUAGAACCAUGAGCUUCUAGCGUGAGGUUCUAGCGAGUGGCUUGGCGAGUUAGGCAAGUUAGGUGAGUUAGGCGGAAUUAAUGGUUGAAAAGG
rnacentral:lncRNA from 1 species